UAAAAGGCAGAAGUCUGAGGAAAUGGGUCCUUUCCAGAAGAACUAUGCUAAACAGCUGACCAUUUCAGUGGAAGCAUAGAUGCCAAUAUUGAAUGAGCAUGGAGGACCCAUCUGUGCCCACCAUCCAUCUGUUUAGACGUGAUUGGCAAAGUGGUAGGGAACUCUCAGUGGUUGCCUCUGCCUGAAAGGAAUGAACCACAGGAUCUUCCAACGAGUGCCAAAAACUUCUGAGAAGGUCUGCUGCCAUGGCUUUCGGGGCCUCGAUCUACAGAAGACAGCAUUAUUAGUGAAAGACAGCACUCCCAUGGUGCACUUCAGUCAGCUAAAACAAUGCAGGUUGGCUGGGGAUCCAUUACUGGACUCUGAUGAAUUGUGUCCCAGCAUCACAAAUACAGCUUUUCUUUCAUUAUGGCAUGCAGCUGAGACUUAACUCUGGAUACCAGAUAUUGUAUCUGGGUCGUCAAUCAACCGAGGGCAACUUUUGAAGCAGAGGAGAAUCUCACGAUUAACAGAAUGCGUGUCAACAACACAGUAGCAACUGUCUUUUGAUGUACUUUGGGGACAAAAUAAUUUAGUUUACUUUGCUUAGA